rnacentral:tRNA from 2 species
GGGCCCUUAGAUCAGUGGAAGAUCGCUUCCUUCGCAAGGAAGAGGCCGUGGGUUCAAAUCCCACAGGGUCCACCA